rnacentral:rRNA from 1 species
GAUCAUGGCUCAGGAUGAACGCUAGCGGCAGGCUUAACACAUGCAAGUCGAGGGGCAGCAUAAUGGAUAGCAAUAUCUAUGGUGGCGACCGGCGCACGGGUGCGUAACGCGUAUGCAACCUACCUUUAACAGGGGGAGUAACACUGAGAAAUUGGUACUAAUACCCCACUAAUAUCAUAGAAGGACGAUCUUUUAUUGGUUGGUAAAAUUAACCGUACUGGUUAGGUAGGAUGGGCGGAUGCGUUGUUAUUUAAG